rnacentral:ncRNA from 18 species
AUGAAGAUAGCGAGAGAUUAUCUUCCAUAAAUGGAAGAUAGCCGAAGGGGAAAUACAAAGGCCCGCCAAGCCUUUGUAGAAGCUCUCAGGCGGCAGGAUCGCUAUCGGAUA